GAGAGAGAGUGUUUUAAUUUUAAAUAAUUCAAUUAUCAUAGGUCUUUCAGCAAACAAAAUAUAAUAAAUCAUGAUGAGCCUUGAAAACGCACUGUUUUAACCCUUGCCAAACUGAAUCGUUGAUUUAACAAGAAUGUGUCCAAAGUACACGGAUGCCCCACUCGCACUAUCCUUUUCCAUGUUCCAUGGACCGUGAAAUUGGGUAAUUAUCUAAUUUGGCUUUAAAAUUAGAAAGAUCAUAUCAUAAGCAACAAGUGUACUAAGUUUCAAGUUGAUUGGACUUCAGCUUCAUCAAAAACUACCUUGACCAAAAACUUUAACCUGAAACUCCCACUUUCAUUUUCUAUGUUCAGUGGACCGUGAAAUUGGGGUCAAAAGUCUAAUUUGGCUUAAAAAUUAGAAAGAUCAUCUCAUAAGCAACAAGUGUACUAAGUUUCAAGUUGAUUGGACUUCAGCUUCAUCAAAAACUACCUUGACCAAAAACUUUAACCUGGACGGACGGACAGACCAGAAAACAUAAUGCCCCUCUACUAUCGUAGGUGGGUCAUAAAA
rnacentral:lncRNA from 1 species